AGGAGCUGUAUGAGCCGUGAGGCUCCCGUACAGUUCUGCGAGGGUCUGGAGGUGAAAUUCCUCUGGUCUACUCACC
rnacentral:ncRNA from 1 species